CUUUCAUUGUAUGGAAGAGAGCAGAUCAGACAUUCUGUUUAAAUUCUCCUUUAAUGUUCCAUGGAAGAAAGUCAGGUUUGGAACAAUAUGAGGCAGAAGAAAGAAAGUCAUACAGGUCAUCGGAUGACAUGAGAUGCUCAUCUCCAGACCAAGUGACAGCUCUGUUCCUCAGUGGCCAUUAACAGCAUUGCUGGACUGACACUGCAACGGCUGCUAUACGCCACCCGGCACAAUGUGACCACAAAGGGAUCGGUGUCACUUUCUUGGCACUCAAACUACUUUGAAGAAACCAUUUCCUUGGCAAAGCAGAAUCAGCCUUGAAAAAUGCAACACGGCUGAGUCAUACUUCCUCCUGGAUAUGACAGCACUUCCUCCACAAACUGAUCUGUCCUCCCUCCCCUCCCCACAUUUAAAAAGUUAAAGGGACGGAACAUGGAAGAAGUGAGAAGGCAAUGAGUCCACUUUUGUCUCAAAUGUAAGACGAAUGAUGACAAACCUAGUAGGGCAAGUCACUUAUCAUCACUUAAAAUAACUGACUCAGACCGCAUGUGUUGUAUAUGGGCUUGGUACG